rnacentral:rRNA from 1 species
ACGAACGCUGGCGGCGUGCUUAACACAUGCCAGUCGAACGGAAAGGCCCUGCUUGCCGGGUACUCGAGUGGCGAACGGGUGAGUAACACGUGGGUGAUCUGCCCUGCACUUCGGGAUAAGCUUGGGAAACUGGGUCUAAUACCGGAUAGGAGCCAUCUUUAGUGUGGUGGUUGGAAAGUUUUUUCGGUGUAGGAUGAGCUCGCGGCCUAUCAGCUUGUUGGUGGGGUAAUGGCCUACCAAGGCGGCGACGGGUAGCCGGCCUGAGAGGGUGUACGGCCACAUUGGGACUGAGAUACGGCCCAGACUCCUACGGGAGGCAGCAGUGGGGAAUAUUGCACAAUGGGCGCAAGCCUGAUGCAGCGACGCCGCGUGGGGGAUGAAGGCCUUCGGGUUGUAAACUCCUUUCGCUAGGGACGAAGCUUUUUUGUGACGGUACCUAGAUAAGAAGCACCGGCUAACUACGUGC